rnacentral:rRNA from 1 species
UCUUACCAUGCAGUCGACGGAAGGCCCUUCGGGGUACUCGAGUGGCGAACGGGUGAGUAACACGUGGGUGAUCUGCCCUGCACUUUGGGAUAAGCCUGGGAAACUGGGUCUAAUACCGAAUAUGAUCAUCGGCUUCAUGGUCGGUGGUGGAAAGCUUUUGCGGUGUGGGAUGGGCCCGCGGCCUAUCAGCUUGUUGGUGGGGUAAUGGCCUACCAAGGCGACGACGGGUAGCCGGCCUGAGAGGGUGACCGGCCACACUGGGACUGAGAUACGGCCCAGACUCCUACGGGAGGCAGCAGUGGGGAAUAUUGCACAAUGGGCGCAAGCCUGAUGCAGCGACGCCGCGUGAGGGAUGACGGCCUUCGGGUUGUAAACCUCUUUCAGCACAGACGAAGCGCAAGUGACGGUAUGUGCAGAAGAAGGACCGGCCAACUACGUGCCAGCAGCCGCGGUAAUACGUAGGGUCCGAGCGUUGUCCGGAAUUACUGGGCGUAAAGAGCUCGUAGGUGGUUUGUCGCGUUGUUCGUGAAAACUCACAGCUUAACUGUGGGCGUGCGGGCGAUACGGGCAGACUAGAGUACUGCAGGGGAGACUGGAAUUCCUGGUGUAGCGGUGGAAUGCGCAGAUAUCAGGAGGAACACCGGUGGCGAAGGCGGGUCUCUGGGCAGUAACUGACGCUGAGGAGCGAAAGCGUGGGGAGCGAACAGGAUUAGAUACCCUGGUAGUCCACGCCGUAAACGGUGGGUACUAGGUGUGGGUUUCCUUCCUUGGGGAUCCGUGCCGUAGCUAACGCAUUAAGUACCCCGCCUGGGGAGUACGGCCGCAAGGCUAAAACUCAA